UGUAUUUGUGUAAAUAUGUCAUUGCUACCACGGUGGUAUAAAAAUAAUCAAUGUGAUCCGACUCUAUACAUUAUUGUUUAACUCGUCGUUGUGCAAUAAUCUCAACGAUAUGUCGGCCACCAUCAAGUUUCUAUCCGUUUUCUAUCUGUGUGUGGUGCUGGGCGCAGUAUUUGGGAAACACGUCGCGCCUGAUUCUAAGCCCGUGUCUCAUCAUGUUGCUAACACUGGAAAUGCCGAUACAAUCGUUAUAUAUUUGAAGGAUAUUAAUCACCAUCAAGAUGCAACACGAUUUAAAAGGAGCCCAUGGCUGGAAAAGUGGAGAGAUCCUUUGGCCUCUCCGAGUGAGGAAAUGGAACCGUUUUUUAUUUAACCCGACUGCUUCGAACGCGUGUUGGGCUGGUGGUGGAUGAUGAAGCAGCCAACGUUGGACAGCACAAAAUUAUAACGACCUUCGCAUGCAUAAAUGAUAAUAGGUAUUAUAUUAAGCUUUUGUUUUGUUUGUGUUUUUGUCUAAAUAUAAAUUAAAGUGGUUUCA